rnacentral:rRNA from 1 species
AUUGAACGCUGGCGGCAUGCCUUACACAUGCAAGUCGAACGGCAGCACGGGUGCUUGCACCUGGUGGCGAGUGGCGAACGGGUGAGUAAUACAUCGGAACAUGUCCUGUAGUGGGGGAUAGCCCGGCGAAAGCCGGAUUAAUACCGCAUACGAUCUACGGAUGAAAGCGGGGGACCUUCGGGCCUCGCGCUAUAGGGUUGGCCGAUGGCUGAUUAGCUAGUUGGUGGGGUAAAGGCCUACCAAGGCGACGAUCAGUAGCUGGUCUGAGAGGACGACCAGCCACACUGGGACUGGGACACGGCCCAGACUCCUAAGGGAGGCAGCAGUGGGGAAUUUUGGACAAUGGGCGAAAGCCUGAUCCAGCAAUGCCGCGUGUGUGAAGAAGGCCUUCGGGUUGUAAAGCACUUUUGUCCGGAAAGAAAUCCUUGGCCCUAAUACGGUCGGGGGAUGACGGUACCGGAAGAAUAAGCACCGGCUAACUACGUG